rnacentral:lncRNA from 1 species
AAAAGAGAAAAAAUUAUUAAUAGGACUUAUAUAUUUACGCUUAGUAUUUUUGGUAAAAUAUACAAAAUUUAUCUGAACUGUAGAUCAUUUUACGUUGACUAUUCAUUAUUUGAAAAUUUUAAAUUUAGUAAUUUGAGUUAAUAAAUGAUACUUUGGCUACAAAAUAUUUGAAUGCUUUGUUUAUCUUUACAUAUUUAGUCAAUUAUAAUUUGAAUGCUUUGUUUUAUUUUCAGCAUAACCAAAUUUUAAAUAUACUAAUUCUAAAAGUAAGUAGUUAGCUUAAAAUUUAAAAUCAAAUAAAUAGGACAAUUAAAUAGUAAAAUUAAAAUUUUAAAAACUUAAGUAGCUGAUUUAAAAUAAUUUAUAAUUCAGAUUAAUUUUUUUAUUUUUUUUUUAUUUUUGUCUAAUUUAGAUGAAUGAAUGCGUUGGCAGAAGCAUGUCCUUAUUUAUUUUAGUGCAAACUUGUCUUCUUCGAAGAGACAAAUAAGGAGAAAAAGUUAACACAUCUUAUUCUUGGGAAAACUUCAACAACCCCCCAUGUGAUUUCGUCGUUUCUCACUUUGCUCCCUUGUGGUUUAAAAUGUAUUAAUUUGCUUCCCUGUGGUUUCGUUUUUAUCUUUUCGGUAGCUUUUUCGUUAAUAUUUCAUUAAAUUAUAUAUAAAAAACUUUAGAUAUCCAUCUAGAUUUAUUAAAUAUUCACUUUAGUACUCUUUAAUUUUAACUUUAUCACUGAUUUAAGAAAAAAAAAUAAUGAAAUUGAUAAAAAAAAGAGAAAAAAGAAACCACAGAAUGGCAAAUUGAUAUAUUUUAAACCACAGGAGGGCGAAGUAAGAAGCUAUAAAACAACAGGGGGGGUUUUUGAAGUUUUUUCUAUUCUCUUUAUUGUCAAACAAAUUUCGUGGAUAUAAUAGGACGGAAAAAACAAUUAUUUGAGCCCAUUGGGCACGCCCCUUAAGGCCUCUUAUUAUAGUAUUUUUAUUUUCUAAUAGUAAAAGUAUAAAUAAAAAAAUUGAAAAAAAAGAUAAAAAUAUAAAAAGACCUUAUAUUAUGUUAUAAUGGUUGCAAAAAAGACUUUUUGUGGUACAGAUUUUUUGAAAUAUUUGAUCGACAAAAUUUGUAGAGAUUCAUAUGUGUAAAGAUAAAUUGUAUCACUAGUCUGUUGGCUUAAAAAAGUCAGCAUCCCACUGGCUAAGGGCUUGGUGGUUGGUAUCCGAGACCCAAGUUCGAAUCAUAAUAGAUUCAUAUUUACAGCUAAGUUUAUUUCUAAAUGAAAUAAACGAAACGGAUAGCGUGCUACCUAUCUCUCAAAAAAAAAAAAAAAAAAGGUCAGCAUCCCACUCAUGCGGCGGGAGGCCAAGGUGUGUCGAGUCACAUUCAAAAUAGCGUGAGACUGGAUUGGGCAGAGUCAUAUUUGAAAUGGUGUGAGGCUGGUUGAGUCAAAUUACAAUUGAGACUCGUGGGUAUUAUAUUUAUACGCUUUAAGAGAAUUGAUUGUGUAUUUUUAACAAAUCGAACUUUUGGGAUUAAUGGUUAACGCCAAUGGUCCGAAAGUGAUAUCAGAGCCAGAGGUUAUGGGUUUAAUUCUCGCAUUCUGUAAAUUUGUGCAAAUGCUUGAGGAAGAAUUAUUUGCUUAAAAAAGUUAAUAUCCCGCUCUACGACGGGAGGUUGGGUUGGGCUGAGUCAUAUUCGAAAUGGCAUGAGGCCGAUAUCUUGCCCUGCAACAGGAGGCUGAUUUAGACGGAAUAAUGUUCAAAGUAGCGUAAGACUGGUCGAGCUUUUGAAAUUAAUGGUUAGCAGCAACUUGUCUUUCUCGAGCUUUUAGUGAUAUUUUAUUUUAGUUACCAAAUUCUAAUUUCUUUCAAUCAAAUCAUUAAAUUUCACUUUCUGUUUUAAUUAGGUCAACGAAUAUAAAUUUCAAUAUUUUUUUUU